GAGAAUGUAGCUCAGUGGUUAGAGCAGUCAUACCGUUUCCGACCUUUAUCCGCUUUCGGGCGGGUCGCUGGCAAAUGGUUAUCGCGUACAAAGCGACGGGUCGGGCGUUCGAGUCGUCCCAUUCUCC
rnacentral:tRNA from 1 species